AGGCAGCAGUGAGGAAUAUUGGUCAAUGGGCGAGAGCCUGAACCAGCCAAGUCGCGUGAGGGAAGACGGUCCUACGGAUUGUAAACCUCUUUUGUCGGGGAGCAAUAAGGCGUACGCGUACGCAGAUGCGAGUACCCGAAGAAAAAGCAUCGGCUAACUCCGUGCC
rnacentral:rRNA from 1 species